rnacentral:rRNA from 1 species
GACGAACGCUGGCGGCGUGCCUAACACAUGCAAGUCGAACGGGGUAGAGAGCUUCGGUUUUCUACUUAGUGGCGAACGGGCGAGUAACGCGUGAGAAACCUGCCUUUCAGUGGGGGACAACAGUUGGAAACGACUGCUAAUACCGCAUAAUGUAUUCGGGGGGCAUCCCUUGAAUACCAAUGCUUAAUGUGCUGAAAGAUGGUCUCGCGUCUGAUUAUCUAGAUGGCGGGGUAACGGCCCACCAUGGCGACGAUCAGUAGCCGGUCUGAGAGGAUGAACGGCUCCAUUGGGACUGAGAUAAGGCCCAGAAUCCUACGGGAGGCAGCAGUGGGGAAUAUUGGGCAAUGGGGGAAACCCUGACCCAGCAACGCCGCGUGAAGGAAGAAGGCCUUCGGGUUGUAAACUUCUUUUAGCAGGGACGAAGAACGUGACGGUACCUGCAGAAAAGCAACGGCUAACUACGUGCCAGCCGCCGCGGUAAUAC